GAUGAACGCUGGCGGCGUGCCUAAUACAUGCAAGUCGAGCGAACGGACGAGAAGCUUGCUUUUCUGAUGUUAGCGGCGGGCGGGUGAGUUACACGUGGAUAUCCUACCUAUAAGACUGUGAUAACUUCGGGAAACCGUAGCUAAUACCUGAUAAUUUUUUGAGCCGCAUGGUUCAAAAGUGAAAGACGGUCUUGCUGUCACUUAUAGAUGGAUCCGCGCUGCAUUAGCUAGUUGGUAAGGUAACGGCUUACCAAGGCAACGAUGCAUAGCCGACCUGAGAGGAUGAUCGGCCACACUGGAACUGAGACACGGCCCAGACUCCUACGGGAGGCAGCAGUAGGGAAUCUUCGGCAAAGGGCGAAAGCCUGACGGAGCAACGCCGCGUGAGUGAUGAAGGUCUUCGGAUCGUAAAACUCUGUUAUUAGGGAAGAACAUAUGUGUAAGUAACUGUGCACAGCUUGACGGUACCGAAUCAGAAAGCCACGGCUAACUACGUG
rnacentral:rRNA from 1 species